rnacentral:rRNA from 1 species
UACGGCAGGUGCGAGCGUUAAUCGGAAUUACUGGGCGUAAAGCGCACGUAGGUGGUUUUAUAAGUCGGAUGUGAAAGCCCCGGGCUUAACCUGGGAAUUGCAUCUGAUACUGUCUGACUAGAGUAUGCUAGAGGGAAGUGGAAUUCCAGGUGUAGCGGUGAAAUGCGUAGAUAUCUGGAGGAACACCAAUGGCGAAGGCAACUUCCUGGGGCAAUACUGACACUGAUGUGCGAAAGCGUGGGGAGCAAACAGG